rnacentral:tRNA from 1 species
GGAAGGGUGGCAGAGUGGUCGAUUGCAGCGGUCUUGAAAACCGCCGACCCGAGAGGGUCCGUGGGUUCGAAUCCCACCCCUUCCGCCG